UACGAAGGGGGCUAGCGUUGCUCGGAAUCACUGGGCGUAAAGGGUGCGUAGGCGGGUUUUUAAGUCAGGGGUGAAAUCCUGGAGCUCAACUCCAGAACUGCCUUUGAUACUGAAGAUCUUGAGUUCGGGAGAGGUGAGUGGAACUGCGAGUGUAGAGGUGAAAUUCGUAGAUAUUCGCAAGAACACCAGUGGCGAAGGCGGCUCACUGGCCCGAUACUGACGCUGAGGCACGAAAGCGUGGGGAGCAAACCGG
rnacentral:rRNA from 1 species